rnacentral:rRNA from 1 species
GUAGCAAAAUCAUUUGUUUUUUAAUUGAAAACUGGAAUGAAGGGUCUAACAAAUAGGUCUUUUUUUUGUAUAUUUAUUAAAUUUAUAUUUUUUGUAAGAAUACAAAAAUGGUUAAUAGGGACGACAAGACCCUAAAAGCUUUAUUAUUUCUUAAUUUUUUAUUAUUGUUUGUAAAUUGAGAAUUAAAUAAUAAUUUUACUGGGGUAGUAGUUUUGUAACAAAUAUUUUUUUUAACAUAUCGGGCUAAAGGUCCUUUAAAUAAGGAUAAAUAGUAUAAGUUACUUUAGGGAUAACAGCAUAAUAGUAGUGGAAAGACCAUAUUUAUGUUAUUGUUUGUGACCUCGAUGUUGAAUUAUUUUUUGGUAUUGAGCAGAGAUUAUACUGAAGGAGUUUGUUCAACUUUUAAAAAAUU